CCCCUGAACCUCCCCUGAGCCAGCACCGUCCCCACACCGCCCCCGCACCGCCCCUGAACCUCCCCUGAGCCAGCACCAUCCCCACACCGCCCCCGCACCGCCCCUGAACCUCCCCUGAGCCAGCACCGUCCCCACACCGCACCCGCUCCGUCCCGGCAGCGCUCCCGCACCGCUUCUGAGCCGGCACCGCCCCGCCACCGCCCCCGAACCGCUCCCACACAGACGCGGCACCGCCCCGACACCGACCCUGCGCUGCUCCCACCCCGCUACGACAUCGCCCCUGCUCCGGCAGCAGCACUGCCUCUACCCCCGCACCACUCCCGACCCUCCCUGGCAUCGCGUCGCGCUAAAGGUCUCUGAGGACACCGCUAUUACGUCGCCUCCCAACGUUACAGUUUUCUCGAGCACCCUGCACUGCCAGUCGACCAACACCAGCUACUUCAAAGACGUCCCUUCUAUUAAAUCCGGGAAGUUUCGUUACUUCCAUCCCCCCUCCGCCCCAGCCUGGGAUGGGCGUCAGGGCAGGACGAUCUGGAUCCAGUCCCUAGCGAAAUGCAGCUUUGUCCUGCUUAGAUUCUGAGCCGAAGUACACUGCGCAUAUUUCAUACUUCCCAAGCUUUUAUUAACUACACCAAGAACAAUUAAGCCACACUUCUCUCACAACAAAUGUAUGUUGGUCCAGACCCCUUAGAGGAUUUCCGUCCUUCCUUCUCUUUCUCAAUCCUCUAUUCAGAAAAUACUUCCUAUAUUUUCUUUGUCCUAAUACUUAUCUUCAUUAUUGCUCAAAGUCAACAACUUCAAACAACUUAGAGAGCCACAUCCUGCUAGAUAGCUUCUAUGUUCUACUGUCCAUGAAGUGGACAUUCAUACUCUUCUUGCACUUUUAGUUACGUAGUGAAACUGGAUUUAAAUGCCUAUAUGCUGUGUGGCUUCUACCUAAAACUACACUGCAGAGAUUUUUUUUUCCCGCAUGGAAAAAAAAGAUAUGGAGUUAAUGGCCAAUUUAAAUGAAGAAAAAUAACUGCAGUAUUUUGAAAAGAGUAAAUUGCUUACUCGUCGAAAAGAUGUCAGAUGCACAGAGAUAAAUCUUCAGUGAUAUAUUAGCUUCCUGUACCAUAUUUAGUGUGAAGGAAUUUCCAUUUUUUUUUAAGAUAAAUGUCUUGUCCUUUACGUUUUCAUCUUAUAAUGCCAUCUCAGUUUUAAAAA